rnacentral:rRNA from 1 species
AGAAUCAACGCUGGCGGCGUGCCUAACACAUGCAAGUCGAGCGCGAAAGGGGAGCAAUCCCCAAGUAGAGCGGCGAACGGGUGAGUAACGCGUGGGUAAUCUACCUCCGAGUGGGGAACAACAGCGGGAAACUGCUGCUAAUACCGCAUGACAUCGUCGACGUCCGUUUCGGGUUUGACGACUACGAAACGGGCCCGGGGACCGACGAACGGCCGUGGCGUCGUUGGAGACGACGCCCGCGUCCGUAUUAGCGUUAGUUGGGCGGGUAAGUCGGCCCACCGAAGGCCUCCGA